AUAGUCGAAAGGCUGAACCAGCAACUUGGAAGAAUGAAAUAAUGAAAAAAUCAUAUAAAGUUCUAGAUAAAAUAAAGAGAAUGACGAUUUUUUAUCUAUAAGUCUUGACCAAAUUACGUGCCAGCAGUCGCGGUAAUACGUAAAAGACUAGUGUUAUUCAUCUUUAAUCGGUAUAAAGGGUACCUAGACAGUAUACCAAGCCUAAAUAGGUACUAGUAUUCUAGAGUUUUAUGUGGGAAUGUACGAAUUACCAGAGUAGAGUCAAAAUUCUUUUAUACUGGUGAGACGGGUAACGGCAAAGGCGAUAUUCUAUGUAAAAACUGACGUUGAGGGACGAAGCCUUGGGUAGCGAUAAGGAUUUGAUACCCUAGUAGUCCUUGGAGACAAUUAUGAGUGCCAUAGGCUAGAUUACUUUAGUUUAUAAAUGAAAGUGUAAGCACUCCACCUCAUGACUAAGGCGGAAAUGCACAAAUUGAAAUCAUUAGACCGUUUCUGAAAUCAGUAGUGAAGUAUGUUAUUUAAUUCGAUGAUCCGCGAAUAACCUUACCGCGUUUUGAAUAUUUAAAUUAUAUUUACAAGCGCUGCACGGCUGUCUUCAGUUAAUGUCGUGAGAUUUUGGUUAAUUCCUUAAAUUAACGAAAACCCCUGCUUUAUUUGUUUUUAAAGCUUUUUUCUCUAAAGAGAAAUAAUAAAAGGGACCAAGACAAGUCAUCAUGGCCUUAAU
rnacentral:rRNA from 1 species